rnacentral:rRNA from 1 species
GAUGAACGCUCGCUACAGGCUUAACACAUGCAAGUCGAGGGGCAGCAUGGUCUUAGCUUGCUAAGGCCGAUGGCGACCGGCGCACGGGUGAGUAACACGUAUCCAACCUGCCGUCUACUCUUGGACAGCCUUCUGAAAGGAAGAUUAAUACAAGAUGGCAUCAUGAGUCCGCAUGUUCACAUGAUUAAAGGUAUUCCGGUAGACGAUGGGGAUGCGUUCCAUUAGAUAGUAGGCGGGGUAACGGCCCACCUAGUCUUCGAUGGAUAGGGGUUCUGAGAGGAAGGUCCCCCACAUUGGAACUGAGACACGGUCCAAACUCCUACGGGAGGCAGCAGUGAGGAAUAUUGGUCAAUGGGCGCAGGCCUGAACCAGCCAAGUAGCGUGAAGGAUGACUGCCCUAUGGGUUGUAAACUUCUUUUAUAAAGGAAUAAAGUCGGGUAUGUAUACCCGUUUGCAUGUACUUUAUGAAUAAGGAUCGGCUAACUCCGUG